rnacentral:rRNA from 1 species
GACGUACCGGACAAACGUUAUUCGGAUUCACUGGGCUUAAAGCGUGCGUAGGCUGCGCGGAAAGUGGGGUGUGAAAUCCCUCGGCUCAACCGAGGAAUUGCGCUUCAAACUACCGUGCUUGAGGAAGAUAGAGGUGAGCGGAACUAAUGGUGGAGCGGUGAAAUGCGUUGAUAUCAUUAGGAACACCAGAGGCGAAAGCGGCUCACUGGGUCUUUUCUGACGCUGAGGCACGAAAGCUAGGGGAGCAAACGGG